rnacentral:rRNA from 1 species
UACGUAGGGGGCAAGCGUUGUCCGGAAUUAUUGGGCGUAAAGAGCGCGUAGGCGGUCCGAUAAGUCGGCUGUGAAAGUCAGGGGCUCAACCCUUGAAAGCCGGCCGAUACUGUCGGACUAGAGUCCGGAAGAGGCAAGUGGAAUUCCCGGUGUAGCGGUGAAAUGCGUAGAUAUCGAGAGGAACACCUGCGGCGAAGGCGGGUUGCUGGGCCGACACUGACGCUGAUGCGCGAAAGCCAGGGGAGCGAACGGG